rnacentral:rRNA from 1 species
AGUGAACGCUGGCGGCGUGCUUAACACAUGCAAGUCGAACGAGAACGGGCUAUAGCUUGCUAUAGUUGUCAGCAAGUGGCGCACGGGUGAGUAAUGUAUAGGUAAUAUGCCUCUUACUAAGGGAUAACAACUGGAAACGUUUGCUAAUACCUUAUACUCCUUAUUAACAGAAGUUAAUAAGGGAAAGAUUUAUUGGUAAGAGAUUAGCCUGUAUUGUAUCAGUUAGUUGGUGGGGUAAUGGCUUACCAAGACUAUGACACAUAACUGGUUUGAGAGGAUGAUCAGUCACACUGGAACUGAGACACGGUCCAGACUCCUACGGGAGGCAGCAGUGGGGAAUAUUGCACAAUGGACGAAAGUCUGAUGCAGCAACGCCGCGUGGAGGAUGACACAUUUCGGUGCGUAAACUCCUUUUAUAUGAGAAGAUAAUGACGGUAUUAUAUGAAUAAGCACCGGCUAACUCCGUGCCAGCAGCCGCGGUAA